UACGGGGGGGGCAAGCGUUGUUCGGAAUUACUGGGCGUAAAGGGCUCGUAGGUGGCCAACUAAGUCAGACGUGAAAUCCCUCGGCUUAACCGGGGAACUGCAUCUGAUACUGGAUGGCUUGAGAUUGGGAGAGGGAUGCGGAAUUCCAGGUGUAGCGGUGAAAUGCGUAGAUAUCUGGAGGAACACCGGUGGCGAAGGCGGCAUCCUGGACCAAUAUUGACGCUGAGGAGCGAAGCCAGGGAGCAAGCGGG
rnacentral:rRNA from 1 species